rnacentral:rRNA from 1 species
AACGCGAAGAACCUUACCUGGGUUUGACAUGCACAGGACGUGCCUAGAGAUAGGUAUUCCCUUGUGGCCUGUGUGCAGGUGGUGCAUGGCUGUCGUCAGCUCGUGUCGUGAGAUGUUGGUUAAGUCCCGCAACGAGCGCAACCCUUGUCUCAUGUGCCAGCACGUUAUGGUGGGGACUCGUGAGAGACUGCCGGGGUCAACUCGGAGGAAGGUGGGGAUGACGUCAAGUCAUCAUGCCCCUUAUGUCCAGGGCUUCACACAUGCUACAAUGGCCGGUACAAAGGGCUGCGAUGCCGUGAGGUGGAGCGAAUCCUUUCAAAGCCGUUCUCAGUUCGGAUCGGGGUCUGCAACUCGACCCCGUGAAGUCGGAGUCGCUAGUAAUCGCAGAUCAGCAACGCUGCGGUG